AGCUGUCGCAGAGACUGUUGCAGACACCGUCGCAGAGGGUGCCGCUGUCACAGCCACGGGACUCGGAGUCGGUGUUGAACUAAUCACCACACACUGGUUGUUGAUGCACUCCUCGUCAGCGCGGCAGCAACGCACCUUGCUCACAAGGUUAUCCGAAGGGAUCAGGUACGUCCCGCACUGCUUCGUAGGGUCCUUGCACACACAGAAUGACGGCAGCAGCACCUGUUGUUGCUGCUGUUGCUGCAGUUGCUGCUGCUGCUGCUGGUUGUUGUUGUUGCUGAACGGGUUGUACGUGCAGUUCUGCGUCUCGGCGUUGCAGCACUCGGGGCCGCAAGCAAUAUAGCUCGAGUUCGAUACGUUGCUAGUGGUGCCGCUCAGCGAGUUCGACACAUACCCGUAGGUCUGGCACACGUACUCGGUCAUCGGCUGGAAGCACUCGUUGCUGAGCCCCAGGCAGCAACCAGCCUCCAGACACUGCUGUGGCGAGUAGCUCGUGCGCUGCGUCCCGUGCUGCUCUCCGUACAGGAGCGUGUUCAGCAGACGCACAAACUGGUUGUUGUUGAUGUUAUUGUUCAGCUGCUGGUUCUGAUUCACCGCGUUCGUGCACGGCUGGCGCUCAAACUCGCCCACCGCGCACGUCUUCUCGGGCUGGAAGCAGUACGGGUUCGACUCAAAGUCGCUCUGCUGCUUGCCGUUCUGCACCCACUGGUUCUGCGCCUGCGAGUCGUAGCAGCAGCCCUGGGCAUAGCACGUAAACUGGUUGAUACCCGCGUUGCCGCACGGCUGGCGCUGCGCUCCCGGUGACGGGCAGACGGGUACUGGUGCCUGCACCUCCUGCAGCGCUACAGAGGCCUGCGGUGCAUGGUUGAUGUCGUAGUAGCACCAGGGUGCCAGGAUGCCGUUUGCCGUUGGCUGCCAGCAGCAUCCCGGUAUCGCAGUGCACUCGUCGGGAUAGAUGUAGCUCCAGCCGCAGGGGACGCGCUGCGUCACUGGAACAGCGCUGCACGCCGCUGAGACGCUCUUCAGGGUGCACGCGUUCGUCUGGGAGUUAAAGCAGCACCCGACUUGCUCGCAAGCGUCCUGGUUUGUGUACUGGCCCGGAGAACCGCAGAUUUCACUCGUGCAAACUGGUGUUGGCGUUGCACUCGGUGUCGGGGUUAUAAUAGCAAGUGUCGCACCAGAGGGUAGAAUUGUAGAAAGCUGGUCGGUGAAAGUUUGAAGCACACUUUGCAGUUCACUGGCGAGGGAUGUGUCUCCUGAGAUCUUAAUCACAUAGGUCACAACACUGCCGCCCGAAGUGCGCACCAAUGCUCGUUCCAGACGAAGAUUGCUCUUGUCUAAUGUGGUGGCGAGGCGCCUUGAUGUGCCCGAACCGAAGACCGUGUCGCAGUUAUCAGUCACGCUGACAUUCACUACCUGGCCCGUGAAGCGAGCCUCGAGAUCGUUCUGCAAAUCCGUCGCCACGGCCAAACAAAGAGAAAGAUUCUGAACGGAUAUCGCAAUCGAGGUGGAAAUCGUCGUCGGCACGAUUGUUGGUGACGUUGUUGCAGUUGGAGUCAUCGUCGGCGUCAUCGUCACUGUCGUUGGAGACUCUGUUACAGUAAUCGUUGGCGAUGAUGUAAUUGUCGGAGUCAUCGUCGCAGUCGGUGUCGGUGUAGGUGUAGGUGUAGGUGUCGGUGUCGGUGUCAGUGUAGGUGUCGGUGUCAGUGUCGCAGUCGGUGUCGCAGUCGGUGUCGCAGUCGGUGUCGGUGUCGGUGUCGGUGUCGCAGUCGGUGUCGGUGUCGGUGUAGGUGUCAGCGUGGGUGUCGGGGUCGCAGUAGCAGUUGGCGUAAUCGUUGGUGUCAGAGUUGGCGUUGAUGUUGGCGUAGGCGUAGGGGUAGGCGUAAAGAACGUUUCA
rnacentral:misc_RNA from 1 species